AAAACAUUAAUCAAUAACAAACACAACCACAAGAGAAUGUCAACCAUCAAGUUCAUUUGACUUUCUCAUGGCUUUGUUUGAAAGUCACCGCACGAAGCAUUGACCAAACCCAAAGAACAGCUAAAUCCAAAAGCAGAUCUCCCAACGUCAAACUCCAACAAAGUGUUCUCCAUCUGAUGCAUUCCGAUUACAACUGCCUGCGCCGCCGCAUCUCCUCCAUUGAGGAAAGCCAAGCAAGCCACGUCAUCACUAAUUUUCUUCAUCGAAUUUGCGGCAAUUACUUUCCAGAUCUUCCCAUCAGCAAACUUCAUAUCGAUCUGAGGCACUUGGAAAUGUUCCGUUGACUUAAAACAAAACUCCAAGGGUGUUGUGCUAUUGACACGUGGAAUAUCCGACGUGGCUUUUGAGAAUGCUUCAGUAAAGACUUUGUAUAUAUCGCUACGUAACGUAGUGAAAGGGGUUACGGUGCUUAGAGUCACGCCUCCGUCACCCUUGCCGUCAAAACCAAAAGCGUUUUGGGCAAGCAAGAUCUUUUCUCCGUUGACGAAAAUACCCUUGAGCCUCAAGAAAUAAUUGUUGAGUCUUCUAGGGUUCUUGAUCAAUUGGGUGUACGUGAGCAUGGAUCUUGCAUCAGUGUUUCCGAGCUUGUACGGACCUCCGCCAAAGAAAAUAGCACCUUUGUUCGUAUCAGAAGGCAGACACAACGCGAACUUCUUCUCGAGCCCGAGUCUAGGUGGGGUCAGCUGGUUCCAUGUGGCGAGAGCCGUGGGUGCAAGCCCCGCAAGGCCCAAAACACCAGGAGGGAAGUCUAUGAGAAACGGCUUGGGGAUGCAAAGGUACUUCACGUUGUUGAACGUGAACGAGGGAGAUCUAGGGUUUAGGGAAGACAUGGAAAAAUCUCCAUAGGUGUAUUGGUUUGAGUUACACAGACGUUGGAACGGCUCAAAGGCGGUUGCUUG
rnacentral:lncRNA from 1 species